UAUCACUUGAGAAACCAAUACCCAGUAGCCCUGGUGCUGCCCAGCAGAAGAGAGUCUGGAACAAGUGUUCUGGUGAAAUUCGGGGAGAAAAAAAACAGGCCCUGCCUGCCAAGCACGAAGGCGACUACUGCUUCUCAGGACCAACCAGUCCCAUCUCCUCAAGCCCUGCAGCCCUGUUCCUGUUCAGCAGGAACACCCCAAGCUGUGGUCAGGACAGAAGACCAGGAGACAGGCUGCUCCUUCAACUCCCUGCAGGGAUACAUUCUCACUCAGCUCCUGAACCUGGUGCAUCACCCCUGGCCUUCCCUCUGGGAAAAGAACUGGCUGGUGAGGAAAGUGAUGUGGGAAGCUUUGAAAAGCCUUUGCUCACCCAAAACCCCAGGCGCCCUGGGACAGUGAUAAGGCCGUCUGGGAAAAGCAAAUAGCAGGAUAGUCACAAGGACUGGGGCUAGCACCCCCCCACCCCCAUAGAAUUAAUUUUCACAUUUAGCCUUUGUACUCUGCUUCUGCCCCGUAGAUAGAACUAAUUACCGCAUUCCGCUUCUGUAUCCCGCUUUGCUCUGUAGAGAGGAAGACCCAGUAGGCUAUAUAAACCCCAAGAAUCCUUUGUUCAGGGCUCAGAAUUUGUAGACUGACUCCUGUGGGCCUGUGCACGUUAAUAAACCUCGUA